AUUAUUAAGCAACUCUAUAAGUUAUGUUUCACUACUUGUUCCAUUUGGCUUGUUCCCUUGGCUCUAUGGAAUUAAAUUUUAAUUGGUUGUUUAAUUUUGUUGUAAUAAAACAAAAGCAUUUUGAAAAUUUGAUUCAUUCAUUUACUAAGCCCUUUUAAGGUGGUUCAUAUUUGAUGGUGCGAGCUUUGGCUUAAUUUCCUAAACAUAAGGUCCAUGUUGAUUUUGGCUUUUGAUUUGAGGGCCUAUACACAAACUUUUUUCUCUCUUGUGUUCUCUUAUUUGGAAAUUUACUUCUGCAG
rnacentral:lncRNA from 1 species